rnacentral:ncRNA from 1 species
CAUACAACUCUGGGGGGCUGGAAUUGGCCGUCUGAGAUUGUAUCCCAUGAAGAUACUGACCCUUUAACCUGAUCUGGGUAAUGCCAGCGUAGGAAAUUUUACAUGAACCUGU